UGGGGAAUAUUGGACAAUGGGCGCAAGCCUGAUCCAGCAAUGCCGCGUGGGUGAAGAAGGUCUUCGGAUUGUAAAGCCCUUUCGGCGGGGACGAUGAUGACGGUACCCGCAGAAGAAGCCCCGGCUAACUUCGUGCCAGCAGCCGCGGUAAUACGAAGGGGGCUAGCGUUGCUCGGAAUGACUGGGCGUAAAGGGCGCGUAGGCGGCGCAUUUGGUCAGGCGUGAAAGUCCUGGGCUCAACCUGGGGAUUGCGUUUGAUACGGGUGUGCUUGAGUUCGGAAGAGGGUCGUGGAAUUCCCAGUGUAGAGGUGAAAUUCGUAGAUAUUGGGAAGAACACCGGUGGCGAAGGCGGCGACCUGGUCCGUGACUGACGCUGAGGCGCGAAAGCGUGGGGAGCAAACAGG
rnacentral:rRNA from 1 species